CAGUAGCCGCGGGAAAACGGAGGGAGCUAGCGUUGUUCGGAAUUACUGGGCGUAAAGCGCACGUAGGCGGCUUUGUAAGUUAGAGGUGAAAGCCUGGAGCUCAACUCCAGAAUUGCCUUUAAGACUGCAUCGCUUGAAUCCAGGAGAGGUGAGUGGAAUUCCGAGUGUAGAGGUGAAAUUCGUAGAUAUUCGGAAGAACACCAGUGGCGAAGGCGGCUCACUGGACUGGUAUUGACGCUGAGGUGCGAAAGCGUGGGGAGCAAACAGGAUUAGAUACCCCGGUAGUCCCUGUCUCUUAUCC
rnacentral:rRNA from 1 species